CAAGAUAAUGUGUUAUGAUGUGCAUUCUGCACUCUAAAAAUGCCAUUUCACCCACAGGUCAUGACACCAUCCUGUUUUGGAGUAUUCAGUCUCCGCUCUCUGGUUGUUUUGGAGAGCCACACAUAAUGAGCUCGCUUGUACCGUGCAUCGGCAUGACUGCACUUAACUGGAUCCAAGGGCAGCUUGAAGGAUCCGCCUCCAGAGGAAGAAACAGCCCUGAGGUAAAACAGAUGCAGAGGGGGCUGGUCAUCCAUCCUGCAGCAGGCAGGCUCCCAUCGAGCUGUUCUCAUCUCCAGGUGAACGCUAUAGUGGAGCUGAUAGUGCCUCAGACACAGUCAAGGACUCUGCUGGCCUUGCACUUAUCUCAAGUUGCUAUUCAGGAGAAGUGCUUGUGUGCAGUGAUACGUGUAGAACAAAGACGAGUUGACCAGGUCAAAAGCACAUAGCAUUUCGAAUGUAAGUGUUGAAUAAUAUAUUUUUAAAAUGUUAUUUAUAAUAUUUUUAUAAUCAUUUUAUGAAAAGUAAAUUACUUUUAUGUUACUUCUUACAGUCAGCUGACUGAGACUGUCCUUCAGUGUGGAAGGGCUACGUUUAGGAAUGCAAGUAUUUUUUUUUUUUAUUAUUAUUAUUUUAUGUAUUAUAUUGUGCGUGUAUAUGGGUGUGUGUGUGUAACUUUUUUGCAACUUUUUUUUCUUUUUGACUUUGUCAGCUGUCUGAGACUCUUCUCCAGAGUGGAAGUGCUAUACUUGGCUUGCAGGUAUGUUUAUAUUGUCAUGGUUAUGGACUCUAAUUUUGAUAUUCUGUUUUGUUUCCUUUUAGUUCCUGUUUCCCUGCUCUGUUUAGUUUCAGUUUCAUGGGUUUCUGAUUAUGUCCUUGUUUGUUUCUAUACUGUAGUUACUGAUUAUCCCCAGCUGUGUCUCAUCUAGUUCUCAGUGUUUUUAUACUGGAGCCAGAGCCGGCCAUGAUAUCAGUCCCAGAGUCUACGUAUGCUGCCCAGUCUAUCCCAGAGCCAGGAGAGGACCACUGCCUAAAGACCUGUGGUUUGUGGAUCCAGUUCCCUACCGAGUCCCCAUACUUGAAUCUAUGGCUUCUCCACCGGUCCUGUCAAACUGUUUGGAUACUCCAGUCCCAUCCAAAUCUUCCUGCUCCAAUGUUCCUGCCUGACUUCCUGGUUCCAUCUCCUCCACUGGUUCCGUCCAGUCCCCUGGAUCUGCCGUCUCCGCUGGUCUGUUGAGGCCCCAUCUCCACCUCAGUCCCGCAAGCCAGCGGCUCCACCUUGGGCUUCCGGGCCGUGGAUGUCGCUCAUCGCUCCAUCACUCAUAUCUGCGUCAAGCGUCUUAGAUUGCGACAGCACAACACGUUACAUAUAUAUUAUUUAUAUAUCGUUUUCUAUUCAUUUUUUAGAGGUUUGUGAUAAACAACAGGUUUAAAGUAUUUUCAAAAAUUCAAUAAAUAGAAUGAAUUAAAUAAAGUAAA